rnacentral:lncRNA from 1 species
AGAAACAAACUUCUUUACCAUUUAUCAUUGAUCUUUUCCAACUCCGAUACCUUAACAUAACACACUGUCGGAACUAAAGGAACUGUAUGCAGAAGAUUUUCUGGGCAUAGAGAGUAUUGUAGCUCUGCGGACUUUCCUGAUUUUAUUUUUAGUCUCAUUCACCAAUUAUUCUGUUGAUCAUCAGCCUUAUAUGGAAAAG